rnacentral:tRNA from 1 species
AUGUUUGAAACAAAUUAUUGUAAUCAGUUUCGACCUGAUUUUUAAGUUAUUUUAUUAACUCAAACAUU